rnacentral:rRNA from 1 species
AGGACAAACGCUGGCGGCGUACCUAAGACAUGCAAGUCGAACGGGACUUUCCGCUUCGGCGGGGAGUCGAGUGGCGGACGGGUGAGUAACGCGUAGGAACCUAUCGCACAGUGGGGGAUAACACGGGGAAACCGGUGCUAAUACCGCAUGUGGUCAGUGAUGAAGAAAGCGAGCAAUCGCGCUGUGUGAGGGGCCUGCGUCCGAUUAGCUAGUUGGUGGGGUAACGGCCUACCAAGGCGACGAUCGGUAGCUGGUCUGAGAGGAUGGUCAGCCACACUGGGACUGAGACACGGCCCAGACUCCUACGGGAGGCAGCAGUUAGGAAAUUUUUUGCAAUGGGGGAAACCCUGACAGAGUAACGCCGCGUGGAGGAUGACGGCCUUCGGGUUGUAAACUCCUUUUCUGUGGGAAGAGCAGAAGACGGUACCACAGGAAUAAGUCUCGGCUAACUACGCGCCAGCAGCCGC